rnacentral:lncRNA from 1 species
UUUCAUCUCGAGUAUUCCUCCAUUUGAGUAGAAUUUUACCCGUUGAACACAUCGAAAUAUAAUUCGGAUAUAUGAAAAGUUUGCACAUAAGUACCACAUAUGUAGCCAAGCUACCAUGUAACCCGACCAUAAGUGAACUCAGACUCAACUCAACGAGCUCGGGCGUUCGCAUCCAUAAGUGAACUCGGGCUCAACUCAAUGAGCUCGGACGCCUAGUUACAUCUCAUGAACUCGGACUCAACUCAACGAGUUCGAACACUCGCAUCCAUAAG